rnacentral:rRNA from 1 species
UACGUAGGGGGCUAGCGUUGUCCGGAAUCAUUGGGCGUAAAGAGCGUGUAGGCGGCUCGAUAAGUCCGCUGUGAAAGUCCAGGGCUCAACCCUGGAAAGCCGGUGGAUACUGUCGGGCUAGAGUCCGGAAGAGGCGAGUGGAAUUCCUGGUGUAGCGGUGAAAUGCGCAGAUAUCAGGAGGAACACCGAUUGCGAAGGCAGCUCGCUGGGACGGUACUGACACUGAGACGCGAAAGCGUGGGGAGCAAACAGG